AUCUCUGUAGAGUCUGCAUAUCAAUAAGCGGAGGAAAAGAAACUAACUAGGAUUCCCUCAGUAACGGCGAGUGAAGCGGGAAGAGCUCAAAUUUGAAAUCUUCAAGGUUCUACCUUGACGAAUUGUAGUUUAAAGAAGUGUUUUCUGUUGGAGUUUUGGUAAAAGUUCUUUGGAAUAGGACAUCAUAGAGGGUGAGAAUCCCGUAUUUGACCAUUAUUUCCAGCUUUGUGAUACACUUUCAAAGAGUCGGAUUGUUUGGGAAUGCAGUCCAAAAUGGGUGGUAAAUUUCACCUAAAGCUAAAUAUUGGCGAGAGACCGAUAGCGAACAAGUACCGUGAGGGAAAGAUGAAAAGAACUCUGAAAAGAGAGUUAAACAAUACGUGAAAUUGUCAAAAGGGAAGCGUUUGACACCAGUGUUGUUUUCUCGAAAAUCAAUUAAAAAAGACUGGAUUUUGUGUUGUAUUGACUUUAUCAGCUUUCUGCACUCUUUUCUUGUCUUUUUUAAUGCACUUUUCGUUUAACAAGUCAACAUCAAUUUCUUUUGUUGUAAAAGGGUCAUUGGAAGGUGGCUUUCUUUUCGGAGAAAGUGUUUAUAGCCUUUGGACCUCUGCAAUCGGAGAGAUUGAGGUCUGCAGCGUAGAUCCUUCGGGGUUAGAUACAUUUGUGCUAAGUUAUAGCCUUUCAUAGACAACUUGUUGACUAUGAUUAGUCAUUGUAGCUUACUCGCUUAUGCUAUUUUACCUACGCUUAGGAUGUUGAUGUGAUACUGCGAGCA
rnacentral:rRNA from 1 species